UUUUUGUUUGUAAAAAUUGAUUGUUUUACCUAAGUAUUAUGAAUGUAAUUAAAAUAUGGUUUGUUUAGAAUUUAUAUAUGAUUAAUUUAUGUUUAAAACUUAAAAGGUUUGGCGGUUUUACAUAUCCAGUUAGGGGAGUUUGUUAAUUUGUUUGAUAAUCCUCAUUUUAAACUUACUUUUUUUUGAUAUAUAUAUAAUACAGUUUAUAUAUUGCUGUCGUCAGUUUAUUUUUUGAGAAUUAAAAACUGUUAAAUUUUUAGGUUGUUAUGUCAAGUCAUAAUGUAGCUAAUGAAGAAGGUUUAAUGAACUACUAUAAAUAAUGGUUUUUAUUCGGAUAAUAAAAAUUAUAUUUUGUUAGGAAGAUGGACUUAAUAGUAAAAUUACAAUUAGUGUGUGGAAUUGAAUAAGGUUUUGUAAGGUG
rnacentral:rRNA from 1 species